rnacentral:lncRNA from 1 species
AAAUAUCUUCUUCGCAGUAUCUCUUCAUCUUUCUCCGUGUGUGUGUGUGUGAAGGGGAAGAUUUUUCAUUUGUGAAAUCAGUCAUCCUUGUUCACUCAUUCACGUCACUGACCCCAAAACCUUCGCUCCUCACUGAUCACCAAGCGAAUCCUUUUCAAUUCUCUCAUACAUAAGUAUAUAUAUAUAUAUAUAUAUAUAUACUCUAUUUUUUCAAUAUUUUUGAAUAGGUGACUCAUUCUUUGACAUUUCAAAGCCUUUAGGG